rnacentral:rRNA from 1 species
AUGCGCAUGUUGAGAUGGAUGUGUGGCCACAUGAGGAAGGACCGAGCCCGGAAUGAUGAUAUACGAGAUAGAGUUGGGGUAGCACCGAUUGAAGAGAAGCUUGUCCAACAUAGAUGGUUUGGGCAUAUUCAGCGCAGGCCUCCAGAAACUCCGAUGCAUAGCGGACGGCUAAAGCGUGUUGAUAAUGUCAAGAGAGGUCCGGGUAGACCAAACUUGACACGUGAGGAGUCCGUAAAGAGAGAUCUGAAGGAUUUGAGUAUCACCAAAGAACUAGCCAUGGACAGGGGUGCACUGAAGCUUACCAUCCAUGUGCCAGAACCAUGA